rnacentral:rRNA from 1 species
GAUGAACGCUGGCGGCGUGCUUAACACAUGCAAGUCGAACGGAAAGGCUCCUGCUUGCAGGGGUACUCGAGUGGCGAACGGGUGAGUAACACGUGGGUGAUCUGCCCUGCACUUCGGGAUAAGCCUGGGAAACUGGGUCUAAUACCGGAUAGGACGAUGGUUUGGAUGCCAUUGUGGAAAGUUUUUUCGGUGUGGGAUGAGCUCGCGGCCUAUCAGCUUGUUGGUGGGGUAAUGGCCUACCAAGGCGUCGACGGGUAGCCGGCCUGAGAGGGUGUACGGCCACAUUGGGACUGAGGUACGGCCCAGACGCCUACGGGAGGCAGCGGUGGGAAAUAUUGCACAAUGGGCGCAAGCCUGAUGCAGCGACGCCGCGUGGGGGAUGACGGCCUUCGGGUUGUAAACACCUUUCGCUAGGGACGAAGCGCAAGUGACGGUACCCGGAGAAGAAGCACCGGCUAACUACGUG